rnacentral:rRNA from 1 species
UGAGGGAUGAAAGCUGGGGGAGCAAACCGGAUUAGAUACCCGGGUAGUCCCAGCUGUAAACGAUGCAGACUCGAUGAUGCAUUGGCAUAUAGCCAGUGCAGUGUCGCAGGGAAGCCGUUAAGUCUGCCGCCUGGGAAGUACGUACGCAAGUAUGAAACUUAAAGGAAUUGGCGGGGGAGCACCACAAGGGGUGAAGCCUGCGGUUCAAUUGGAGUCAACGCCAGAAAUCUUACCCGGAGAGACAGCAGAAUGAAGGUCAAGCUGAAGACUUUACCAGACAAGCUGAGAGGUGGUGCAUGGCCGUCGCCAGCUCGUGCCGUGAGAUGUCCUGUUAAGUCAGGUAACGAGCGAGAUCCUCGCCACUAGUUGCUAUCAUUAUUCUCAAGAAUAGUGGGGCGAAUUAGUGGGACUGCCGUUGUUAAAACGGAGGAAGGAGGGGGCUACGGCAGGUCAGUAUGCCCCGAAACUCUGGGGCCACACGCGGGCUGCAAUGGUAGCGACAAUGAGCUCCAAACUCGAAAGAGAGUGGCAAUCUCUAAACGCUACCACAGUUAUGACUGAGGGCUGUAACUCGCCCUCACGAAUAUGGAAUCCCUAGUAACCGCGUGUCAUUACCGCGCGGUGAAUACGUCCCUGCUCCUU